rnacentral:rRNA from 1 species
UACGUAGGGGGCGAGCGUUGUCCGGAAUUAUUGGGCGUAAAGAGCGUGUAGGCGGUUCGGUAAGUCUGCCGUGAAAACCUGGGGCUCAACCCCGGGCGUGCGGUGGAUACUGCCGGGCUAGAGGGUGGUAGAGGCGAGUGGAAUUCCCGGUGUAGCGGUGAAAUGCGCAGAUAUCAGGAAGAACACCGACGGCGAAGGCAGCACUCUGGGCCGGUACUGACGCUGAGGAGCGAAAGCAUGGGGAGCGAACAGG